AGGAGGAACAACCGCAGUGGCAGCGGCCAGCUCUGGAGCCUGUAUUCAGCUCCCACAGUAACUACAGAGCUCUCCUUCCUCAGGGCCUGGAGGCUCCAGGGCGGG
rnacentral:pre_miRNA from 1 species